rnacentral:rRNA from 1 species
CCUACGGGAGGCAGCAGUGGGGAAUAUUGCACAAUGGGCGAAAGCCUGAUGCAGCGACGCCGCGUGAGGGAUGACGGCCUUCGGGUUGUAAACCUCUUUCAGCAGGGAAGAAGCGAAAGUGACGGUACCUGCAGAAGAAGCGCCGGCUAACUACGUGCCAGCAGCCGCGGUAAUACGUAGGGCGCAAGCGUUGUCCGGAAUUAUUGGGCGUAAAGAGCUCGUAGGCGGCUUGUCACGUCGGGUGUGAAAGCCCGGGGCUUAACCCCGGGUCUGCAUUCGAUACGGGCUAGCUAGAGUGUGGUAGGGGAGAUCGGAAUUCCUGGUGUAGCGGUGAAAUGCGCAGAUAUCAGGAGGAACACCGGUGGCGAAGGCGGAUCUCUGGGCCAUUACUGACGCUGAGGAGCGAAAGCGUGGGGAGCGAACAGGAUUAGAUACCCUGGUAGUCCACGCCGUAAACGGUGGGAACUAGGUGUUGGCGACAUUCCACGUCGUCGGUGCCGCAGCUAACGCAUUAAGUUCCCCGCCUGGGGAGUACGGCCGCAAGGCUAAAACUUAAGGAAUUGACGGCUGNGAGNGCGAGCGACACGAGGAGAG